rnacentral:snRNA from 1 species
GUUCUCACUUUGGCAGCAUAUGAUACUAAAUUUAGAAUGACAUGGAGAAGAUUGGCAUGGUCCCUGGGCACAGAUGGCAUACAAAUUAACGACCAAUCCCGGAAGGCU